rnacentral:rRNA from 1 species
AGGUAUUGUCUUCGCAUGGUUGCAACGGGUAACGGAGGGUUAGGGCUCGACCCCGGAGAAGGAGCCUGAGAAACGGCUACUACAUCCAAGGAAGGCAGCAGGCGCGCAAAUUACCCAAUCCCGACACGGGGAGGUAGUGACAAUAAAUACUGAUACAGGGCUCUUUUGGGUCUUGUAAUCGGAAUGAGUACAAUUUAAAUCCCUUAACGAGGAACAAUUGGAGGGCAAGUCUGGUGCCAGCAGCCGCGGUAAUUCCAGCUCCAAUAGCGUAUAUUAAAGUUGUUGUGGUUAAAAAGCUCGUAGUUGAACCUUGGGCCUGGCUGGCCGGUGCCCCUCACCGGGUGCACUGAUCCAGCCGGGCCUUUCCCUCUGUGGAACCCCAUGGCGUUCACAGGCGG